ACCUGGUUGGCUGAGUUGGUAGAGCAUGUGACUCUUGAUCUCAGGGUGUGAGUUCAACCCCACUUUGGGUG
rnacentral:tRNA from 1 species